AACGCGAAGAACCUUACCUGGGCUCGAAAUGUAGAGGACGAUAUCAGAGAUGAUAUUUCCCGAAAGGGUCUCUAUAUAGGUGCUGCAUGGCUGUCGUCAGCUCGUGCCGUGAGGUGUUUGGUUAAGUCCAGCAACGAGCGCAACCCUUAUCGUUAGUUGCCAACACGUGAAGGUGGGAACUCUAACGAGACUGCCUGGGUUAACCAGGAGGAAGGUGAGGAUGACGUCAAGUCCGCAUGGCCUUUAUGUCCAGGGCUACACACGUGCUACAAUGGUCGGUACAGAAGGCAGCGAAGCCGCAAGGUGAAGCAAAUCCCCAAAAACCGAUCUCAGUUCAGAUUGUAGUCUGCAACUCGGCUACAUGAAGUUGGAAUUGCUAGUAAUGGCGUGUCAGCAACAACGCCGUGAAUACGUUCCCGGGCCUUGUA
rnacentral:rRNA from 1 species